rfam:Erinaceus europaeus unplaced genomic scaffold scaffold00227, whole genome shotgun sequence
ACUAAGAAUUUCUUUAGUGCUUGCUUCGGCAGCACAUACAGAGAAGAUUAGCAGGACCCCUGCACAAGGAUGACACGCAAAUUUGUGGAGCGUUCUGUGUUUUU